rnacentral:misc_RNA from 1 species
UUUAUGGUCUUCCAAGGUAAUAGUCUGGGUGGUUUUCACUUCUCUUUAUCAAUUUGUUGAUUGAUUGGAGUCAUGCAUCUGGGUUUGCCAAAAUUUCAAUGAAGGGUCAUGGGUUCCUCCUUCCUGUUUUAAAAAAAAAAAAUCUAUUCCUAUUUUUAAGAGAUUAUGUAAAUCUACCCAGUUUAAUUGAACACACACAUUAUAGUCCAAAGUUGCUCAGUUUAAACAUAACUGCAAUCAGUGAAGUUAUAAAAACAGAAGUUCCUAUUUAUUUGUCUGUUUAUUAUUUGGGGAUUGGGGCCAAGUUUGUCAAAGCAUUUCUGUAUUACUAUAAAGAUUUCAACCAAAA